rnacentral:rRNA from 1 species
UGGUGGGUAGUUUGACUGGGGCGGUCUCCUCCUAAAGAGUAACGGAGGAGCACGAAGGUUGGCUAAUCCUGGUCGGACAUCAGGAGGUUAGUGCAAUGGCAUAAGCCAGCUUGACUGCGAGCGUGACGGCGCGAGCAGGUGCGAAAGCAGGUCAUAGUGAUCCGGUGGUUCUGAAUGGAAGGGCCAUCGCUCAACGGAUAAAAGGUACUCCGGGGAUAACAGGCUGAUACCGCCCAAGAGUUCAUAUCGACGGCGGUGUUUGGCACCUCGAUGUCGGCUCAUCACAUCCUGGGGCUGAAGUAGGUCCCAAGGGUAUGGCUGUUCGCCAUUUAAAGUGGUACGCGAGCUGGGUUUAGAACGUCGUGAGACAGUUCGGUCCCUAUCUGCCGUGGGCGCUGGAGAACUGAGGGGGGCUGCUCCUAGUACGAGAGGACCGGAGUGGACGCAUCACUGGUGUUCGGGUUGUCAUGCCAAUGGCACUGCCCGGUAGCUAAAUGCGGAAGAGAUAAGUGCUGAAAGCAUCUAAGCACGAAACUUGCCCCGAGAUGAGUUCUCCCUGAGACUUUAGGUCUCCUGAAGGAACGUUGAAGACGACGACGUUGAUAGGCCGGGUGUGUAAGCGCAGCGAUGCGUUGAGCUAACCGGUACUAAUGAACCGUGAGGCUUAACCUUA